ensembl:lncRNA
ACCUGGGCACCCAAUUCAGAAAUGUGGGAGUCAUCCUACAAUUACUAAGUCCAUAUAUCUAAUUGGUAACUAAGUGCCAUUAAAAAGUUUCUAAUUCAAAUCUGUCUCCUUCACCAUUCUACUACACCAGGUCAGGACUUUAUAAUUUCUUACUAGGAUUAUCUUUGCUUCUCUUAACUGUUUUCAUAGGCCACCUUCACUCCAAUUUAUCUUUGCAGCUAGAUUUACAUUUUCAGAGUGCAAACCUCGUGUUUCCCUCCGUUAAAAUUCUUUAGAGGCUCUCCAUCACUCUUAGGUUUAGAAGUUUCAGUAUGGGAAAUGCUUCCCUUGAUGACUGGCCCCUGGCUAUCUCUCUAGCCCUAUCCCCUGCACUAUCCACAUUAGCACUCUGUGCCCCAACCUAGAAUAAUUAUUCUCAUCCCUGAGGACCCAUGCUAUUGCUUGCUGCAGUGCCUUCCUUGCCUCUUAUCUACCUGGGAAAUUCUUACUCAUUCUUCAUUACUCAGCUCGAUUGUGUUUUUUUUAAUCUUCUCCAUCAGGCUUCCAUUAUUCUUCCUUCCAUGUCUUCAGAUUUGGUUAAAUACAAGACCCUCUGUGCACCUGUGGUACCUUACUCAUACUUUGAAUGUACUACUGUGAGAUUUUACAUAUGUAUUAGUUUGGUACAAAGUUAAUUGUGGUUUUUUUGCCAUUUAAAAAAAUAUAUAUUCUCUCUCUCUCUCUCUCUCUCAUUCUAUGUGUGUAGAUAUAUAUAUGUGUGUGUGUGUAAUGAGUGCCUGGAUGAUUGUGUGUGUUAGGGAGAUUAUUGGCUCUUUAUAAUGUUUUUGAAUUAAUCAAUGAAUAGCAAAUGAGCCUUUCCAUCAUCAAACAUCUAGGCAUUAUAAAACUAAUCCUAAGUCUAUUUUGUCUCCUUGGAAUUUUAUUUCACCAAAAGCAUCGCUGCCUGACCAUUGAGCAUGAAAUCUCCCAGCAUCCUAAGAAAACAUUUCACUUUGAAAGAUGGAGUCUCCAUCUGUUGCUCAGGCUGGAGUGCAAUGGUAUGAUCUUGGCUCAUUGCAACCUCUGCCUCCAGGGUUUAAAUGAUUCUUCUGCCUCAGCCUCCCACAGAGUAGCUGGGACUACAGACACCUUGUGACCAAGCCUGGAUAAUUUUAGGAGGCCUCUUGCCUCAGCCUCCUCAACUGGGAUUACAGGCAUGAGCCACUGUGCCCUGCCUAUUUCAUAUAAUUUCAAACUGAUAUAACUAUCGCAAGAAUGGUUCAAGAAACUCCAUAUACUUUGGAUGGUUAAUAUUAUAUGUCAACUUGACUGGGCUAAGGGGUGCCCAGAUACCUGCUAAAACCUUAUUUCUGGGUGUGUCUGUGAGGAUAUUUCUGGAAAAGAUGAAUAUUUGAAUCAACACACUAAGUAAAUAAGAUCACCCUCUAUAAUGUGAUGGUUGCUAUCCAAUCCUUUGAGUGCCUAAAUAAACAAAAUGGCAAAGGAAGAACAAAUUGCACUCUCUGCUUGAGCUAGGACAUCCAUCUUCUUCUACCCUCGAACAUCAGUGCUCCUGGUUCUUGGUUACCUUUGAACUCAAAGUGAAAGUUACAUCAUUGGCUACCCUUGAUCUCAGGUCUUCAGACAGACUGGAAGUGCAUCAUUGGUGUUCCUGGGUCUCUAGGCUGCAGAUGGUACAUCAUGGAAAUUUUCUACCUCCAUAAUCAUGUAAGUCAAUAUUUUACAAUAAAAUUGUUUGUUUG